AGAGCGAACGCUGGCGGCAGGCCUAACACAUGCAAGUCGAGCGCCCCGCAAGGGGAGCGGCAGACGGGAGAGUAACACGUGGGAACGUACCCUUCAGUACGGAACAACCAAGGGAAACUUUGGCUAAUACCGUAUACGUCCGUAAGGAGAAAGAUUUAUCGCUGAAGGAUCGGCCCGCGUCUGAUUAGCUAGUUGGUGAGGUAACGGCUCACCAAGGCGACGAUCAGUAGCUGGUCUGAGAGGAUGAUCAGCCUCACUGGGACUGAGACACGGCCCAGACUCCUACGGGAGGCAGCAGUGGGAAUAUUGGACAAUGGGCGCAAGCCUGAUCCAGCCAUGCCGCGUGGGUGAUGAAGACCCUUGGGUUGUAAAGCUCUGUCGGAGGGAAGAAAUAAUGACGGUACCCUCCAAGAAAGCCCCGGCUAACUACGUGCCAGCAGCCGC
rnacentral:rRNA from 1 species